AAAAGAUUCUGAAAGAAAUAAGAUAAUUUUCAAAGCAUUAACAUGAAUAUGAAAGUCAUUAAUGACCAUCUUUUAUUAUUGUUUAUUUACAGUGUCUUUUAUUCUGCUUACCUGACUCAUGCAGAAUUCUGGCUUGAUGUUUGGUCCACCUGUUAGCUGGCUCUGGUGCUUGGUAGUCUUCUCAAACCUCUGAAUCAAGACCACCAUGAGAGGCCUUCUGAAGACCAUCAUUACGCUGCAGAUCCAGUGGUCUUUACUAUGAGAUAGAACUGAACUGGAGUCUGUGAACUAAUGCUGUGUUCGAGACAACUUGGAUGUUUGAUAUUAUUGACCUCAAACCCAUAAGAAGUCUGGAACAGCAAACAAAGUUGAGUAUCCGACCUCUCAACUUGGGACAGAUCCAUCAACACCGACCUCAACGAGAUGCGUCAUUUGACAUUGCAGACAAGAUCCUUUCUCUUUUUUUAUGCAGCUCUUAAGGAUGAAGCACCCUGAUCUACUAAGAUGCACAGAUUCAACUCUGGCCCAGCAUCAUCCCCACACCUCAUCUGCCAUCAGUUUAAUUUAAUGUCUGUCAAUUGCAAAUGCUAUUUCAGUUAUAUUACAACUUAAUAUUAACUUUAAUUGAGACUAGUAUUGUGUAAAGCUGGGGUUUCCAAACUUUUCAUUUUAAAACCUAUUAGACAAGUAUAAUCUAUUCUAGACCCACUAAAAUAUUUUUAAAUAUACAUUUUUUUAAUGGGGUAAAACACAUUUGUUCUCUUUCAGUGGAGUCAUUUUAUUUUCAUAAUAUUUCAUAAUGUGAA